GGAAGCCAGGGGUGAUGGCCUUCCUGCAGCCGUCUCUCGAGCCCCGAACUUGCGGGAAGAAAGGACUGCCCCCUUCCAACCCGUUCGGGUUGGUUUGCGCUGGAACGCCACGCUUUUCAAAGUGUCUGAGUGAUAGGUACUUUCUAAAUAUGUACAGCGAUGGCCUGAUAAGCAACUAAGCGUCUGGCUUCGCGGGUUCAUGCCCGAGGCUGUGCGGUCGGGGGAGGCUGGGGGCUCAGCCGAAACCUCAGCUCCUCCUUACAGGCCUGGUUUGGAAACGGGCUGUACACUGCUGGGGGCCCCACUUUCCAAUGUUUACUUCUGAGAUUGGAAGAAGAAGACAAGAAACACCUCCUCACCCCCUACCCUCUGCCUCCACGCCCGCGACUCAGCCCAGGUGACCCAAACGGCAGAGUCAACUUGGCGCAACCGGAGCGUCCCCAUCGCGCCGGCCACCCCCAGCCCCCUUCGCCCCUCGCUUGGCCCCACAAUGCGCCGUUGUGCCGCGCCUGCCGUCAGGCCGGGGAUUUGGAGCAGGGAUGGGGGGAAUAUUCGUCAGAUAUUUAAAACAGAGCCGAGAGAACAAAGCAGGCCUUUGUGCAGCAGGGCGGCCCGGGAGCUGGGAGCCGCCGGCCCCCAAGCACUGUGCUGGGCCAGGAGAGUGCGCAUGCGCGCGGCGACCUGUGCGCUCGGGUUCUGUGCCGGCUUUUACCCCAGCUGAAUAACCUGGUGGUCACAAGAAAGCAAAGGGAUUUUUAUGUGACAUCAUCUUGGCAAGAAGCUCCCUUACCAACCUUGACCUCCAGGUCUCCAUGGCAACUGCUGCUGGGACAUCAUUGGCACCAGAUUGUGUCCCUUAAAGGCCACACUGCAGCAAGGGCAGAUAAACAAUUUCAUGGCAACAGUCACGUAGCAAUCUCAUUCUUAAAUGUGGGCUGGUUAGUUAGGAUGAUGUAAGUGGUUUUUUCCACUCUCUUCCGCAUUCUGACUCCAGAAUUCUGGGCCUAGGACAUAGUCAAAGAAUGUACCUUGGGGUAUGAGGUAAGAAAACAGGCUGGGGUGGGACUUGAAGAAGUACCUUCUUCUAGACACAGGGACAGAUUCUUUUUCCUUUCCCAGUUGAGAGUUCAUUUUCUGUCUCGGUUCAACAAAGGCAUGUUAUCUUUAUAUAAAGGAAGCUGUAAUAGACAGUCUCCAAGAUGGCAGCCUUUAGUUCUUUCCCUCCUCAGAUUCAUGAGCUGCUUCUCACCUCUUAAAUCUGGUCUACCUAUAGUGACUUGCUUGACCAACAGAAUAUGCUAGGAGCAACAUUCUGGAACUUCCAAGGCUUGGUUGUAAGAAGCUUUGCAAUAUCUGCCUGGAUCUCUUAGAACCUUCAAUAUGGGACACUUGCUCUAGAAAUCAGCCACCAUCCUGUGAGAAGUCCAAGCCACAGAGUGAGGCCAGAAAUAGUUGCUGCAGUCAAGAGCCCCAGCUGAGCUCUCAGCCAACAUUCAGCAUCACUGCCAGCCAUGUGAGUGAGUGAUGGUGACCUUGGAUGUCCAGCUCAGUAGAACCUUCAGAUGAUUUCAGCCCUAGCCGUUCCAACUGCAAGACAUCCUGAGUGAGCUGAGCCCAGUCAACAGAGAUGUGAGAGAUAAAAAUGCAUUGUUUUGAGACACUAAGUUUUAGAGUGUCUGUUGUGUAGCAGUAGGUAGUUCAAGAGGAAUGAAAUGCUAGAUGGGGUAUGGAAGAUAGGAGAGGACCUCCUGAUAGCUCAGCUACUUUGAAAGGCUUUAUUUAUCAGGAUUUUUUGCCCCUGCAUCCCACCAACACCAUCCCUGCUUUCUGAGCUGUGCCUGGCACACUGCACCACACAAACCUUGCACUGCUCACUAACUGUGCCAUGUAUAUAAGCCUCCUCAGCCCGAUGGUGGACACCUUGAAGAUAGGGACCUAUAUGAUUUGAUUCCUACCCUCCUUAGCACUGACAGAUUUGUCAAGCUGUUCCAGUGGAUAAAUACGGGGGAUAACUGCUGGAACAGCAUCUUGAGGUGUUUAUAUGGCUUGGCUUCUGAUCUUUGACAUUUGAUAACUGAUGAACAUGCUAUUUGGGCCCACCCAGGAGCCAGCCACACCAUGGGGGAGUCUGAACCUCACCCACACUGUGGCCACUCAGGGGAAGGAGACCAGGGCCAAGAACGCAGUUGCUAACCUCCUGCUUAGAUUUGCUUCUUGCGGGGCAGCCCUGGAAACCCAAAGAAGAGCUAAAACUGUGUGGAUGAGAGAAAACCUUCAGAACCCAUUCAUAGAGAUACCAGGAGCAGCUGAGAACCCAUUGUAGGAAGGACACAUGUUCAAGACCUCCCCCAUCUGCCCAUCUAGGGACAUGGAUGUUUAACAUGCUAGGGUCAGAAGUGGGAACAUAGGUCAGCUUGAGUAGAACCUGGUGCCUGUGCAGGAACCCUGCCUUCUGUGGGCCCAGCUACUCGGGAGGCCAAAGAGGGAGGAUGGCUUGGGUCUGGGAGGUCGAGGCUGCAGUGAGCUAUGUUUGCACCACUGCACUACAGCCUGGGCAACAGAGUGAGACCCUGUUUCAUAAAAAAUAAAUAAAAAUAGAAAGCCUGGCGAGCCCAGUGUCUACUCAGAGCUUAGGAGAGAGGGAGGAGAAAAGCAGGAUGAGGGCAGCUUGGGAGGCGGUCCUUCAUUCUGCCAAUAAACAUUAUUUUGUGAAUCAGGCCUGGCUUGAGGCACAGCGUAUGCAGAAAAGUUCAAGGGAGACAGAGUCCCUGCUCUCAGGUAAAAUGCCUGGAGGAGUUGUAGCUCCGAUACACAUCUCACGACAUGGGCAGAGCUUGGCUGACCAUGGGUGUAGGGGAGCUAUGGCCUUCCCUCCUCAUUAUAUCCCAGUCUUCCAACUUUGUGAAAGACCUGGAAUUCCCAUGCUAUAAGGUGGUAUGAGUGUGGGCACUAGGGCUGGGACUAGUCCAGGUCCCAGCUCCACCACUUAUUGGCUGUGUGACCUCGUGCAAGCUACUUAAACUCUCUGAACCUUUAGCAUCUUAUCAGUAAAAAUAAGAACAGUAACAGUUCUUCAUCUCAGGGUUGUCUGAGGAUUUCAUAAGAUCCUCCUGGCAAAGUGACCCCUUAGCUCCAUGUGUGGCACCUGCAGGCGCUUCGGAACCACCGGCUCCUAUCCUAUGUACUCCCACGAGGCAUGGGAGGGCUCUGGAUAUGAAAUUAUCUGCAAGGUCCAAGUAACUUUUGCUUAGAAAAAACAAAAGGGAUGAUGAGGGAAGAAGUCUCACUUAGGAACGAAAUUGCCUGGGGCCCUGUUUCCUGAGAGGAUCGCGCAGGAGUCAUAUGACAUUGGUCUGACUUUCCUGAACUGCCCACGCAUGCGCUGAGUUUCAACAGCACCGAGAACCUAGGCUUCUCUUCCUGAAACUUAGGAGAAGCUUGGGCUUCCCUCUGGCCAGUCCAGAGGUGGUUCCCAGGUAAUUGCCUGGUCCAAGAGCCACAGAGGAUUUGGAAUUAUGAGGGUAGGGAACUGCGGUUAGGGGGAUCCCAGAGUCUCAGGAAGCAUUUCAGUUCCAUCCCUUGACCCCACUUCAUGCUCUGGCAUAUCGAGGGCCCGGAAGUGCUAGGAGAGCUGUGAUUGGCAGGCCUCACUCCCUGCCCACCUUCCCUCUUAGCUUCCCCAGAACCAUAGCCCCCUUUAGACUGGGCAUAUGGGCAGAUAACAAAGGAUAUCAUGCUGGGGACGUAUUUCUGAGAGGGGGUGACUGCCCUUGCCCCUAAGUAUGAGUUGCCUUUUCCAAAUAUCCCCACAAUGUAAAGUGAUCGGCAAAGGGGACCACAGCCCUUGGUUCUACACCCAUCAAACAUGUGCUGAAAUCAGAUUCUUUUCUAAGCAACACAUCCAUAUUAUGCCACCAUUCAGACGAAACCAAGAGCUAAUCAUCCUGAGUAUGAGAUGUGUUCUCUGGUGAGAUGCCUGGACCUCCACAGGGGAGGUUGUUCUCUUGAGAAAAUGCCGACUUCCCCUCGUCUUUCAGAGGCCCCCUUCCUGACCAAAAGGCUCAAGACUCAGCUUCAGGAGGAGAGAGACCAUGCCUGCAGGAAUCAAAAUGAAUCAGCACCAAUCCUGACCCAAGAUGAUAUGGGUUGACUGAAUCAGUUGUUCCUCAUCAAGUAUACUGGAAGUCAGAAUGGCUCCUCCUCCAUGAUGCCCCUGUACUUAGAGCAUCUGGCGUCUGUGAAGGGUCUAAUCCCAAGUGAGGAUUCUGCUCCUGAGACAGCCAGGACCAGACGAUUGCCAAGGUCCCUCCAGCCUAAAGGCAGUGACUCUAGAACAGAUGGGGCUGGAUGGUAACAGGGUAACUGGAGCUCAGGAAUGGAGGCCAGGUUAGAGGCAUGCUUGCCCAGUCAUUCCAGGUGCCCAGGUUCCAGGCUUAUCCCUCUUUAGGAGAGAAGUAAAGACAUGAAGAGGAACCCUCUGUGGGCCUGUGCUGACCCAUCUGCCACCCCCAACCAGAGGCAUGAGUGACAUGGGAAAGGGGAGUGGCGUUGGGGCUGCUUGGCCUGCCUCCUGCACCCCAAAGCUCUGGGUUCAAUUACACUCAUUGUCACUGUGCACAGAACCCACGUCACCACUGAGGAGAUCAGCUGGGCCCUGGCUGCUGACAGCUUGUUUUAUUCUUGCUAAGCCACUACAUCUUGGCUUUGUUGUUAUGUUUCCAAUAGCAACAGGAGAAAAGACAACUUUUUCUGCUUUGGGAGCUUAUUUUUUUCUCCCGUAGGAGAAAGCUCCAGCCUGAAGACUUGAUGUCCUUGGGGCCCCAAUGUGGCCUUAGCCCAGACCCUGGGGGCCAGUAAGGAGAAGUCCAGCUUAGCUCUGCCCCAGGGAAACAGCGGGUAGCUGAAGUCAUGGAGGAUCCAGGAGCCAGGAGCUAUCAACUCUUCUGGAAUUGGGCUCAGCUGCCCUUUUUAGUUUUGAAUGGCUACAAAAUAUCCACAGUGGCUUGGGUAGGCCUAAAGCAUAGACAGUGGAGAAAGGAAAAGGAGAGAAAAAAGGAACUUAAGAGUAGAGGAGAAAGGAGUGGGAGAGAAUGGCAAGAGAAGAAAGGUGGCUGUGGAGAAGUGCAGUGACACCAUCAGCACCCUUGGGCAUCACUUGGCAUUUGAAGCCAAAGAGGAUGACCCCACAGGCCUGGAUGAAAAAUAUAGAGGUUCUCUCUGGCAAGGGGCUUUUGCUUUCCAUUGAGAAGGAGCUGCCAUCAUGAAUGGAUGGAUGGAUGCAUGGACAGGUGGGUGGAUGGAUGAAUGAAACAAUAAGCGUGGUAUUCCCAGGAUUGAAUGAAUGAUAAAGGAAGGAAAAAUAAGUGAGAAGUGAGAGAAUCCAAUGAGGGGUUAAGCCAUCUUAGGCAGGGAUUGCCAAGGAGUGGUUUGGGAGGGCCUUGCCCCGUCCCCUCCAGUCUCCAUUGGCUUCCCCUAAAGUCUUUCUAAGUAAAUAAACAUGCAAUCUAAGUGGAAAAAUAGAGUGUUUACUAUACAAAACAGCCUGAUGAAAACCCCCUGGCUCCUGUAUCAGCCAAUAUUCCAUCCAUAGGUUCUCCUUUACAGAAACUCCCGAGCUGCCACUCAUCAACUACAAGGCAUUGUGUCUGCUUUUUCCAAAUCCCAUCCCAGACCAAUUGUAUUCAGGCUGUGGACAGACAGGUGAGGACCUGAAACAUGAUUAAAGGAUAUAGGGAAAAUAAACUUUAGAUUCACUUGAGAAUAGGAAGAGUUAAAGGGCCUUAAGCCUUUCAGUCACUCCUACUUAGGGAUUUGGGGUAUUAAUUAACAAUAGCAAAUCAUUGGGUAGAUUGUCUCUGCUCUCCCUUCAGUAAAAAAUGUCAGGUAUAGGCAUUUCUUCCUAUGCCCAGUAGGAAUAGUUCACUGGGGCCAGGAUCAAGGGUUAGGGGUCAAAGGACUAUACUCUCUAAGCCUUGAACCAAUAAUGUGAGCAGCUAGUGCAGAAGUGAGCAAGGCUCUUCUUUCAUGGAAGGUUCUUAUCAGAAACCAGAGCUGUCUGGAGGGACACAGUGAGUCAGAUUACAACAGCUACCCAUGGUGGGGACAGGUCAGAAGGGGUCACGCAGAGGCUGUAGGGAAGGUUGCUAUUCUUAGGCCCCUACUAUCUCAGGCGUCUGCUGACUCACUUGGGAAUCUCUGGACUCCUGGGUAGAUCCAGUCCAAUAACCUGCCUAGUUCUUGGGUAAGCCUGUAUUGCCUUUAAUGAUAAUAAAUAACAAGAAAAUAUAGACUUUUUCUCUAAAAGAAAGAUGCAAUAUCAUGUUUAAGCCUAUGCAAGAGGAAGGGUAAGGAGGUCUGAUUCCCAGAGAAGCAUCAAUCUUACCUCAGAUCUUGGAAAGACUCCUGGAAGGAAAGGGAGAGAGAGAGAGGCUAACCCCGGGGUAGUGGCCCUGGAGGCUUUGGUACUGAGUCACAACAUGGGUAGGGGAAAGGUACAUUAUAUUUGGGGCAAGGAUCAAGUGAAAGUCUAGGAAAAACAUCAACCUUGGAGACUGAAUAGGCUUGCCACAUUAGAAGCCUCAAAAGGGGACUUAAGUGUCCCUUUGAUUAAGGAGAAGACAGAAAAGGUGCACUAUGCAGAAAAUAACCUCCUCAGGAAGGCAAGUACGUUUAAUGGGUUUUCACAGAAAGGUGGGAGACCAUUUCAUUUUCCCUUUCUUAGGACAGGGAUCUGGGGAUGUUUGCCUGAGAGGUUAUAUGUUCGUUGUGGCCUAAUGUCUUUCAGAGUAGACUGUCACCAACUCUUUGACUCCUCCUGCUCAUGGAUUCCUUCCACCAUACCUUUGGUUUCCAUUUCUAAAUGUGCUUCAGCCUGGGGGAGGCUGCAGUAAAUGACUCUGUCUAACUUGCUUCCUUGACCUUAGGACUAACCUUUUAAAACUCAUGACUUUUCCUUCUUUAUUUAAAAUCUCUAUCUUUUAACUUUUUUUUUUCUUUUUUUUUUUGAGAUGGAGUCUCACUCUGUCACCCAGGCUGGAAUGCAGUGGUGCGAUCUCACUCACUGCAAGCUCCACCUCCCAGGUUCACGCCAUUCUCCUGCCUCAGCCUCCUGAGUAGCUGGGACUACAGGCGCCUGGAUAAUUUUUUUGUAUUUUUAGUAGAGAUGGGGUUUCACCGUGUUAGCGAGGAUGGUCUCGAUCUCUGGACCUCGUGAUCCACCCACCUCAGCCUCCCAAAGUGCUGGGAUUACAGGCGUGAGCCACCACGCCCAGCCUUUUAACUUUUUAAUUUACUCAUUCUAUUGAUUUGUCUUUCUAGUUAAAAAAUAAAAAAAUAAAUCUUCUCCAGGGAGCAUGUGUCAGGAGGGAAAAGAGUCCCUUGUGUGUUAAGCCCUACUGGCUAGGGUUAAAAGCUGAGUUGCUUGUGUGAACUUGACCUUGAGCAUGAUCCCCAAAUGAUAGUUGUCUCUACGUGAGUGGUCUUUAUCUGGCCUCCUCCUCUCUUAGCACUGACCAGGCUAUAUCUGUGGCUAAGACCUAGAGGAAAAGACUUGGGUUAGCCUGUGAAGCAGAGCAGCUGAGCUAGGAAUUCUAAGAAUGGGGGACAAAAGAAAAAAAAAGGUAGGGAAGGUGGAGGGGGCACUUCUUUCCUCAGGUCUGCUGUUAUGGUACAGCCUCCUGAAUUUGAGUUUCUCAAGUAGUCAGGGCUAGGCUCAAGUUGUCAGGGCUAGGCUAAGGGCAAACUGAGGCUAGAGUCAGUAAAGUGAUCUGCCUAUGGUCUUACAAUUACUGGGCAGUAGAUGGUUUACAUUUAGAGGCAGCAUCAACAACCCUGUAGUAUCAGUUAGAAUUCUGGUGGGGAAAAAGAGGAGAAUUUAAUGAAGGGAUUAUUUAUCAAGCUAUGGACAGGAUUUAGGGGAACUAACAAAGGAAGGUGCAAUACUUUAAGCUUAAUCACAUUGAAGAGGCAUUACCCUCCCUAAAUCCAAAGGGUCAAGAGGAAGGAAUAGUUAGGAGAAUCCACAGAGAGUACCUGUAAGGAGAGGGCCUCCCAAUAGGAUGGUGACAGUGCAACUUUUGGUAGAGGGGCAAAACUAAUUCACAGUGAUUUGACAGGAAAGGAUCUAGGGGAAUAAACAUCCUUUCUGUCUUGUAGUUUCCUGUUUGUGUCUCUUUUUGCCUGAGCACAACUAGAAACUAGAGGUCAAUGGUGCCCCAUUGAUGCAAUCUAGACAGGUUGACAGGCCAAAGGGUGGCGAGUGAAUCUGGAGAGCAAAUGUAAGAUAGCCAGCCACCUGGGAACACAGAUGAGAUUUGUUUGUAGUAAUUUCCAAAAUUUUUUGCCUCUGUCUCCAUUGCCAUACCUGUUCCUGCAUGGCUUGCAGAUGCUAGAGUUUUUCUGCUGCUUCCUUAUAUCUUGGAACCCCCAGCCAGGUUAUCAGGUCUAGUUUCUGGGCCUGCCUGCUAUCAUUCAUCAUUUCUUUAUCAAAACCUGUUCUUAAGAUUUUUGCUUCUGGCCAUGACAAAGCAACAGGAUCCAGAUUUACCCUCCCCCUGUAUCCCUUGGGAUUUGAAGCCAAAGAGGAUGACCCCGCAGGCCUGGAUGAAAAAUAUAGAGGUUGGCCUGGCCAACAUGGUGAAACCCUGUCUCUACCAAAACUAGAAAACAACAAAAUAAAUGUACUGACGGCUUCAGAUAUUGUACAACACACAGUGCAGAACUAUGACCCAUGAGAUAAAGAAAAUACAUGUGGUAAAUGAUCAUGACAGUUUCUGAUUGGAGGCACAUUCUGGACUUUACAGCAGGGGAAACAAUAUCCCAAGCACAGUAUGGUAGUCUUGUUAAGUUAAAAUACAGAAAUGAAGGUCAAGGAGACUGUAGUUGGAAACUGUGGGGCAGAAUUCUAGAAAAGAGGGGACCAUGUAAAAAAAGCUCCAGAAAUCUGCACAAGUGCCCUGUUGAGUGCUUAAUACUAAGAUGUUCAUACCCAGAGUGAAGCUUUGUAAGUCUGGGCAAAGAAUGACCAGAAGCUAUAAGCUGAAAAUUUCAGAGUUCACAUGGGAUUCUGAGAUGUAAAAAUAUCAACCAGCUUGAUCAGCUGGGGCAUUUAGUAGAGAUCCAAUGAGGUUCAUAUGCAGAUAGUAAGACUGAACUAUCCCUAGAAUAAAAGAAACGUUAGGUUCAUUCUAACAAAGCUAAAAACAAGCCUCUAAAGGAAUAAUCUUAUCCAUAAGUAACUGCCUGCUGGAUAAAAACUCAAUACUCCUUAAAGGAGGAUUUAAAAAUAUACAAACAUUCAACAAUGUAACCUUUAAAAUAUCCAACAUCUAAGCAAAAAUUACUAGACUCACCAGGUAGCAGAAAAAUGUGACCCAUAUCAGGAAAAAAGGCAAUUAAUAGAAACAUGCCUGAAAAUGACAGAGUUGAAAAGACAGAAUGAACAGACAGGCACGUUAAAACAGCUGUUUAAGUAGGCAAAAUAUACUCCAGGAUUUUAAGAAAAACAUACAUAAAAUGAGGAAAGAAUGCACUUCUUGUGGUGGAAAAGACAAUAUCUGAAAUGAAAGGUCAGUGGCUGAAAUUCAAAGCAAACUAGAUGCUACAAGGAGAAAAGUAAAACUGAAAACAGCAAUAGGAACUAUCCAAAAUGAAGCACCAAGAGGAAGAAGACUUCAAAAACAAAACAAAACAAAACAAAAAACCCAGAAAUGAACAAAGUCCCAUCAAUCCUUGAGCAAUAUCAAGUGGUCUAACAUAUGUAUAAUUGAAAAAGAAAAAAGAGGGAGAACAAAUUUUUGACAAAAAUCAAGGCUGAAAAUUUUCCAAAUUUGUUAAAAACUAUAAAUACCACAGAUCCAGGAAUCACAAUGAACCCCAAUCAAAAUAAGCAAGGGAAAUCACACCAUCAUACCAAAGUACAUCAUAAUAAAUUACUAAAAUUAGUAAUAAAGAGAAAAUCUUAAAAGUAGUCUGAAAAAAGCUGUAUUUUAUAGUGUCAUAGAGAGUAUAGGAAAUACUGCAGACUUCUGAUCAAAACAAUGCAAGCCAGAAGACAAUGGAAUACUUUCUUUGAUAUACUGAAUGAUACACAAAUCAAAUUCUGUAUCCAGCGAUAUAAUGAAGACUUUUUGAGAUAAAUGAAAGCUUAGACAAUUCACCAUCAGCAGAUCUACCCUAAAGAAAUGUUAACAUAAGUUUUUUACAAAGAAGGAAAAUAAUACUUGGAUCUACACAAAAGAAUGAAGAGCACCAGAAAUGGGAAACAUGAGGAUAAAUAUUAAAAUUUUUCAUUAAAAAUUUCUUUAAAAUAUUAAAGCAAAAAUAAUAAAGUACUGUAGAGUUCAUAACAUAUGCAGAAAUAAAAUUUAUAGCAGCAAUAGCACAAAGGACAAGAGCAUGUAGCUAAAAGUCAAUGGUCUAGAUAAAAUGAAAUAACAAAAAAGAACCCUCACUUCAAAAGAAGGCAAGGAAAGAUGCAAAAGGUAACAAAGAACAGAUGGAAUGAGUAGAAAACAAAUAGUAAGAUGACAUACCUAAACCAAACAUGUAUGUUACAUGUACUUGUAAUUAAAUGCAAAUGGUCCAAAUACCCCAAUUAAAGGUCAGGCACUAUCAGACUGGAUUUAAAAAGCAAGAAAUUCAUUUUAAAUAUAAAAACACAAAUAGUUUAAAAGUAAAAGAAUGAAAAAAGAUAUGCUGUGCAAUGCUUAUCACAAGAGAGCUGGAGUAGCUAUAUUAAUAAUAAAAAAAGAAGACUUUAGGACAAGGAAUAGCACCAGAGAUAAAGAGAGACAAUUUCAUAGUGACAAAAAGGAAAAUUUAAGCCAGGUGCAGUGGCUCACGCCUGUAAUCCCAGCACUUUGGGAGGCUGAGGCAGGCAGAUCAUGAGGUCAGGACAUCGAGACCAUCCUGGCUAACACAGUGAAACCCCAUCUCUAAUAAAAAUACAAAAAAUUAGCUGGGCGUUGUGGUGGACGCCUGUAGUCCCAGCUACUCGGGAGGCUGAAGCAGGAGAAUGGUGUGAACCCGGGAGGCAGAGCUUGCAGUGAGCAGAUAUCACGCCACUGCACUCCAGCCUGGGCGACAGAGCGAGACUCCGUCUCAAAAAAAAAAAAGAAAAAUUUAAGAAGAUUUAACAAUUCUAAAUGUUUCUGUACCUGCUAACAGAACUUCAUAAUAUAUGAAUCAAAAACUGACAAAAGUUAAAGAGGAAAUAGACAAAACCACAGUCAUAGUUUGAAUAUAUACAUUUCAUCAUUCCUCUCUCAAGAAUUAAUAAAACAAAUAGUCAGAAAAAUCAGUAAACCAGUAAGGAUACAGAUGAUCCCAGCACUUUGGGAGGCCAAGGCGGGUGGAUCACAAGGUCAAGAGAUCGAGACCAUCUUGGCCAACAUGGUGAAAUCCCAUCUCUACCAAAAAUACAAAAAUUAGCUGGGCCUGGUGGCAUGCAGCUGUAGUCCCAGCUACUUGGGAGGCUGAGGCAGGAGAAUCGCUUGAACCCAGGAGGCGGAGGUUGCAGUGAGCUGAGAUCAUGCCAGUGCACUCCAAGAAAGCUAGGUCAAUUGCUCAUAUGACUAGCAUUUCUACUCCUAGGUAUGUACCCAAGAGUAUUGAAAAUCCAUGUCCACACACACUGUAUAUGAAUGUUCAUAGCAGCAUUAUUCAUUUUAGCCAGAAAGUGGAAACAACUCAAAUGUGCAUCAACUGAUGAACAGAUAAACAAAAUGUGGUUUAUCCAUACCAUGGAAUAUUAUUCAGCUAUGAAAACAAAUGACAUUCCAAUACAUGCUACAACAUGGAUGAACCUUGAAAACACUAUGCUCACUGAAAGAAGCCAAACACAAAAGGUCACAUAUUGUAUAAUUCCAUUUAUAUGAAAUGUCCAGAAUAAGCAAAUCCAUAGAGAUGGAUAGUAGAAUAGUGGUUGCCAGAGGAAAGGGGAAGGAGGAAUGGGGAGUGACUGCCAAUGCAUAUGGAGACUCUUUUGGGGGUGAUGAAAAUAUUCGGAACUAGAUAAUGGUGAUAAUUGCACAAUUUUGUGAAUAUACUAAAAAUCAUGGAAUUGUACACUUUAAGAGGGUGAAUUUUAUGGUAUGUCAAUUAUAUCUCAAUUAAAAAAAUAAGUAUUUGGUAUAAAUGAUUUUAUGCCCCAGUGUUGAUAAUGGAUAAAGGCUUAAUGAGAGACUCUUCUCAGCAAUAUGGUUCAACUCAGACCAACUCCUCCCUACAAAGGCUACAGAAUCUAUUUUUUCAAAAAGUCCAGCUCUUAGGACCUUUGUUCUUAGCUGUGGUUGCUACCAGGCUGCCUCUGAGGCCUGAAAAAUCGUGUCAUAGGCAGUAGAGGUUGAAUUUUGUAUUUUAGUAUCUAUGCUUACUUUCCUGCAGUAUGAGUUCUUUAAAGUCUAUUGCUAACUUGCACUCAUAGGCUGAAUUGAAAGAAUAAAGGAUCACAGUGAGGCACUUUACAGUUUAUAAAAAAGCAUGUUCACAUUCACCACUCUUUUGAUUUUACGCAUUUAGAUUUAAAUUGGGCGUUCUGAAUGGCCACACAACAGCAGGCCCUAAACUCUAGCCCCAACCUCUCUGACUCCAAAAAUCGAGUCAUUCUUAAAACAACUAAAAUGUGCUUCUGAGCAAGUUAUGGAGAAAUGGGCUGCCACUCGCCCUCCCAAGAAUAUUAUGAAGGCUCUUAGCCAUUUAAGGAACAACUUCUGGCCAGGCAGGGUGGCUCACGCCUGUAAUCCCAGCACUUUGGGAGGUCAAGGCGGGUGGAUCACAAAGUCAGGAGAUCGAGACCAUCCUGGCUAACACGGUGAAACCCCAUCUCUACUAAAAAUACAAAAAAACUAGCCGGGUGUGGUGGUGGGCUCCUGUAGUCCCAGCUACUCAGGAAGCUGAGGCAGGAGAAUGGCAUGAACCUGGGAGGCAGAACUUGCAGUGAGCUGAGAUCGUGCCACUGCACUCCAGCCUGGGUGACAGAGUGAGACUCCAUCUCAAAAAAAAAAAAAGAAAAAAAGAACAACUUCCACUAACAAUCUUUUUUUUUUUGAGACAGAGUUUUGCUAUUGUUGCCCAGGCUGGAGUGCAAUGGUGUGAUCUUGGCUCACUGCAACCUCCACCUCCUGGGUUCAAGCAAUUCUCCUGUCUCAGCCUCCCAAGUAGCUGGGAUUACAGGCGUGAGUCACCAUGCCUGGCUAAUUGUUUUGUAUUAUUAGUAUAGACAGGGUUUCACCAUGUUGGGCAGGCUGGUCUUGAACUCCUGACCUCAGGUGAUCUGCCCACCUUGGCCUCCCAAAGUGCUGGGAUUACAGGCGUGAGCCACCACGCCUGGCCUCCACUAACAAUCUUAUAUUGGUCUGCAUUAUGCAGAAUGACCUGGACUAUUAGUCAUGGGGCAGGCCCAGAUGUUAAAUAGCUUGGUCCAGUAUGCUCACCUCAUUAACCAUGUGGUUUGUGGGUCCAUUUUCACUCCUGCAGGGACACACACACACAAACACACCUCUCUUUACAGCAAGAUAAAGAGUCACCUAUCUUUUCCCAGCAGUGCUCUGACCAGGGCUGAGUUCCCACUUGCAUUUCCUUCCUCCCUCUCUCCCUCCCCCUUCCUCCCUUCCCCUCUCCCUCCUUCCUUCCCUCCCUUCCUUCCUUCUUUCCUUUUUUCCUUCCUUUUUAUGGUCAAAUAUACGUAACAUAAAAUUUAUCACUGUAACCAUUUUUAACUGUACUGUUUAGGGGUGUUAAGUACAUUCUCACUGAUGUCCAGCCAUCACCAUUAUCUAUCUCCACAACUUCUUCAUCUUGAAAAACAGAAACUUUGUAUCCAUAAAACAUUAACUCCCCGUUCCCCUCUCUCCACCCCAACCUCUGGUAAUCACCACUCUACUUUCUGUCUCUGUGAAUUUGACUCCUCUAGGUACCUCAUGUAAGUGGAAUCACACAAUAUUUGUCCUUUGGCCACUUGUAUUCCUUGAUGGCAAAGAGUCAUCUUGUUCCAGAGCUGGCCCAUAGGACCAGGUGUUUCAUGUGGUAGCCGGGAAGGAUAGCAAGAGGAAGGAUAGCAGAUUCUGGAGUGCAAACACAUCCCCAGACAGAAUCAGGAGGGCUCCCCUCAUCCUGUCGACAGCUGGAAAUUCUUUCUGCUCUUCUACAAGUUGAGUGUUACAAACAGGAGACUUUUCAAGCCCAGUCCCAAACACAGGAAUUCGUCCCUCGUCAGUCUGUCUCCUGGGCCCCAUUGAGACAGCUGGACUUCCCACGCAAGUGAAAGCAUUCAACUGGGAGUGCCUUUUCCUGGGUCAGCCUGUUCCAGCUUACCCUUGAAGGAGACCAUCAGCUCCUUAAGAGCAACAGCUAUUUUUCUGUCCCAAGUUGUGUAGAAUGCAGUGUAGAGCACUUUUAAAAUGUCCAUUUUGGCUAUUAGCAGCAAUCAAUGCAAUCUAUACCAGCUCAGGUUGGCAUGAUAAUUUUAUUUACUUAGCCAGUCCUUUGAAAUUCACAGCAAGGAUAUGAGCCUUAUGCAUGAUCCUCCCACUGGUUUUCGUACAGGUGAAUGAACCGAUUCCUUAUUGCUGAAAAAAAAAAAUCUUACACUGGACUUGGAGUCAGGCCACAGCUAGACUGGAAGCAAGGAGACUGGAAAGCAAACGUGGACCUGACAGGCUCUGUCAUGUCCCAGGCCUAAUCUGGUGGGAGUCCUGAGAACAGCCUGUGCUGUGUGUGCCCAGGUGCAAAGAAUAUGUAAACCUUUCUCAAGUGAAAAAGCUUAGCUUUUUCCAAAUUCCCAUUUGAGACUGCCUGUGCGACUGCACAGUGUGCACACUCAUGCAGAUAGGUGGAGUCCUAUUCAACUUCUACAAAACACACUAAUUUGUUGAUUUGUUUUAUUUCUAUAUGGUACCUUUCCUCCUAG
rnacentral:lncRNA from 10 species